rnacentral:rRNA from 1 species
UACGUAGGGUGCAAGCGUUGUCCGGAAUUAUUGGGCGUAAAGAGCUCGUAGGCGGUCUGUUGCGUCGGCUGUGAAAACCCGGGGCUCAACCCCGGGCCUGCAUUCGAUACGGGCAGACUAGAGUUCGGUAGGGGAGUCUGGAAUUCCUGGUGUAGCGGUGAAAUGCGCAGAUAUCAGGAGGAACACCGAUGGCGAAGGCAGCUCGCUGGGACGGUACUGACGCUGAGGCGCGAAAGCGUGGGGAGCAAACAGG